GGGGGCGUAAAGGUUUCGACGGGGACUUAGAUGUAUGGGAAGCGAGUAGCGGCGCGGAACCGCUAUAAAAUCCGCAGCUUAAAAAUAAACGACAACAAUAAUACUGUUGCUCUUGCUGCUUAAUUAAGCAGCCGUCCGGCCCCGACUGCCACCGGCGGGUAACCGGGCGUCACAUAGGUGGCGUACGUGAAUAAAUGUCUGCCCCAGCAUUUAUCAUGACUUAGGGGCUCCCCUUGUAUGCAGCUCGCCGGCGGGCGUCAUACAAGGUAAAUAAAAAAGCCGGAUGCACUCGGAGAAACCCAUAAGGAAGAGUUUUCGGACAGGAGUUCGAUUCUCCUCGCCUCCACCA
rnacentral:tmRNA from 2 species